GGAAGGAGAAGUCGUAACAAGGUUAUCCGAUGAUCCUUCUUGCCCUAUUGGGUUCGAGACGUMACGGAAGCCUGAGCGGCCCGCGCGUGAUCGCGGGUGCGGCACACAUUGGGAGGUGCUGCUGAAAGCGCUAGUGUCUACUGUAGAAGCUCUCGUAGCCGAAGCAGGGAGAUGCGAUGCCACCAAAUUGCGGGGAAGUCCMAAAUGGGAGUGAGAGAGCCAGGCUACCAAGCACGGCGGCCAAAAAGUCAAUCCCCGUAGUGGGAUGGAUGGGCCGGAGUGUGGCCGAGCGAGAGGGCUCGGGUGCGGUAACAACGCCGUGGCUUUCGUGCAAGGGACGACCCGCAGCCAAUCCCCCCACAUUGGUAGCUUCGCGAGGAAACGUUUAUGCGUGGCUGCCAAAGUUGGUGGGUGCUGCUCACAGACUAAAUGGUGGCAGGUUGGCUUAUGUCUCGGCGUAACAAUGGAGACAAAGCCGGCCCAAGAUAUAGUCGAUCCGGGGACGCGUGUUGCUUGCGCGCGAGCCGGUGUUUGGUUGUUGUGGGCGCACCCGUGUUAGGGAGUGGACGCCGCCGGGGACUUCCGCAAAAGAAAAAUUCACC
rnacentral:rRNA from 1 species